rnacentral:lncRNA from 1 species
UUCGACGAGCCGAGCGAGAAGAUCCAGUCGAAGCAGACGGAGACGCUGAACGCGUUUCACAUAAUCUCGCUGUCGGAGGGGUUCGAUUUGUCGCCGCUGUUCGAGGAGAAGAAGCGGGAGGAGAGGGAAGAGCUGCGGUUCGCGACGACGCGGCCGGCGAGCAGCGUGAUUUCGAAGCUGGAGGAGGUGGCGGCGGCGGGGAAGUUCAGGAUAAAGAAGAGCGACUCGAUGGUGAGGUUGCAGGGGCAGGAGAGCGGGCGGAAGGGGAAGCUGGCGAUAGCGGCGGAGAUAUUCGCCAUGACGCCGUCGUUUGUAGUGGUGGAGGUGAAGAAGGACAAUGGUGAUACGUUGGAGUACAACCAGUUCUGCAGCAAGGAGCUGCGGCCAGCGCUCAAGGACAUCGUGUGGACAUCCCCCGUGGAGAAUUCUACGGCGGCUUGAUCGAUUAAGAUUAAGAUUACGAUUGUGAUUAGUGUUGUUAAUUGUUAGCGUUGUUUCGAUUAAUUAAGGUGGAAUUGGAAACUGGGCCUGAGCUUGUAGCCACCGCUUAAAAGCCGUCGCAUGAUGUCCCUUGCUCUCGUUUUUAUCUGUUUUUUCUGAUUCUCUUUGUCUUUUGUGCGGUGAUAAGUGAAGCUGUGAAUUUGUGUGAAGACGUCACAUAAGCUUUUCCUUUUAUUUAUUAAUUUAAUUUUUUAGAAAUGUGAAUAUAUACAGAGUAAUUUUACACAAUUACU